rnacentral:rRNA from 1 species
UACGUAGGGGCAAGCGGUUGUCCGGAUUUAUUGGGCGUUAAAGAGGCGUGUAGGCGGCCAGGAUAGGUCUGUUGUGAAAACUACGAGGCUCAACCUCGAGACGCCGAUGGAAACCAUCUGGCUAGAGUCCGGAAGAGGAGAGUGGAAUUCCUGGUGUGAGCGGUGGAAAUGACGCAGAUAUCAGGAGGAACACCGGUGGCGAAGGCGGGUCUCUGGGCCGAUACUGACGCUGAGGAGCGAAAGCGUGGGGAGCGAACAGG